rnacentral:misc_RNA from 1 species
AUUAUACACCGGGGGAAUGAAGUUUGUGGAAAGCGUUCAUAUGCAGCAUCCCAGGGGAAGAAACUGGCUUAGAGCAGCUUUAAGCAUCAAUCUCAAUUGCAGAACAUCUUCAUAUGCUGAGGAAUCAGAAAGUAGAGUAAGAAUGAUAAGCUUGAGCAGUGGCUUGUUUGUGAUCAACUCUGUUGAGCAGCCGAGUGCUUUUUAUGGAGUUCUACCGGACAGGCAUUCACUCAUGUAGGCAAAUAUAUAGAAAUUGGGUUUUUGAUCCACGACUAGGU